AUGGCUACAGCUGCGUUGUGCUUCAGGGCGUCUGCUCUCUCCGUGGCCUGUUUUCUCCUGGCCUUGCCAUUGCUGAUGGCACAGGACCCUUCGAACCUGAGCCUGGAGCACUACUCCAAGACAUGCCCGAAUGCGGAGCAUGUGGUCCGGGCCGAGAUGGAGUGCGCGGUGCGCGACGAACCACGCAAUGCCGCUUUGAUGCUUCGCCUCCAUUUCCACGACUGUUUCGUGCAGGGCUGUGAUGGAUCGGUGCUGCUUGACGACACGGCAACCAUGAUCGGAGAAAAGCAGGCAGACCAGAAUGUGAACUCCUUGAAGGGAUUUGAGGUGGUUGACAAAAUCAAGGCAAAGCUGGAGGCUGAGUGUCCUGGAACAGUUUCCUGUGCUGACUUACUUGCCAUCGCAGCCAGGGACGCAGUUGUCUUGGUUGGUGGGCCUUACUGGGAUGUUCCGGUAGGAAGAUUGGACUCCAAGGAGGCAAGUCUUGACCUAGCAAACAAGGACAUCCCCACCGCCGAGCAGGGCCUCGUCACCCUCAUUUCCAAGUUCUGGGAGAAGGGCCUUGAUGCCACUGACAUGGUGGCCCUUGUUGGAUCCCACACGAUUGGAUUCGCGCGGUGCGCGAACUUCCGGGACAGGAUAUACGGCGACUUCGAGAUGACAUCCAAGUACAACCCUGCGUCUGCGACCUACCUCAGCAAGCUUAAGGAGAUCUGCCCCUUGGAUGGUGGCGACGACAACAUCAGCGCCAUGGACAGCCACACUUCCGCGACCUUCGACAACGCCUAUUUCGAGACGCUCAUCAAGGGUGAGGGCCUCCUCAACUCCGACCAGGAGAUGUGGUCCAGCAUCGCCGGGUACUCGACGGCCGACACGGUCAACAAGUACUGGGCUGACCCGGAGCUGUUCUUCAAGCAGUUCUCGGACUCCAUGGUUAAGAUGGGCAAUAUCACCAACCCUGCAGGUGGCGAGGUCAGGAAGACCUGCAGAUUCGUGAACACAUAA
rnacentral:rRNA from 1 species